GCGGGCGUGGCGGAAUGGCAGACGCGGCAGACUCAAAAUCUGUUGACCAUAAAUCGUGCGGGUUCAAGUCCCGCCGCCCGCACCA
rnacentral:tRNA from 1 species